CUCAGAUCCCGGCGGCCGGUGCGGUGGGUAAGCUUUACGGCUUGUGGGUAAUGGCUGCUUUCACGUGUGUUGGGGGAGAUGCUGGAUUCGGUCUUUUGGAAGGUCCGGAUGGACUAAAGCCUCUGCCGCAGUCCUCAGGCCUUCUGAGUGGAGUUCUCUGCUACCAAUGAUGCUUAGAGAAACUUCAGUGAAAUGACUCUUCAAGAACUGGUGCAUCAGGCUGCCUCCAUUUAUUCAGAUAAAAUAGCUGUAUGUUUUGAUGAGUGUAACAGCCAGCCUCCAGUUUAUUAUACCUAUGAAACUGUGGUUACUGUUGCUUCAGAAUUAUCAAAUUUCCUGCAAUUACACUGUGACUUUCAAGGAAUUCGGGAAGUUGGUCUCUACUGCCAUCCUGGGAUAAAUUUACCCUCUUGGAUUUUAGGAAUUCUCCAAGUCCCUGCUGCUUAUGCUCCCGUUGAUCCAGAUUCACCACCAGCAUUAUCAACUCAUUUUAUGAAAAAAUGUAAUCUAAGUUAUAUUCUUGUUGAAAAACAGCAAAUUAAUAAAUUCAAAUCUUCCUACGAAACAUUAUUGAAUUAUGAUACACUUAAAGAACAUAAUGACCUCGUACUCUUCAGGCUUCACUGGAAAAAUGUUGAAGUGAGCUUGAUGCUAAAGGACAGAAAACAGAAAUAUGAAAAAGAAAAAAUGACAAACAGCACAAAUUCUGGGAACAGCAAUGAAGAAAAGUCAGAAGAGCACAUGGAUGUGAGGUUAAAGCAUUGCUUGGCCUAUGUUCUCCAUACAUCCGGCACUACGGGGAUACCUAAGAUUGUCAGAGUCCCUCAUGCAUGUAUAGUGCCAAACAUCCAACAUUUUCAGGUACUUUUUGAGGUCACGCAGGAAGAUGUUUUGUUUCUUGCUUCACCUCUGACCUUUGAUCCUUCUGUUGUGGAAAUAUUUGUUGCUCUAUCAAGUGGCGCCAGUCUGCUUAUCAUACCGACUUCUGUCAAAGUGCUUCCAUCAAAAUUAGCUGCUGUUCUCUUUUCCCAUCACAGAGUAACUAUUUUGCAGGCAACACCAACUUUGCUUAGAAGAUUUGGAUCUCAGCUUAUCCAGUCAACCGUUUUAUCAGCCAGUACUUCUCUUCGAGUAUUAGCCCUUGGCGGUGAAGCAUUUCCAUUAUUGACUGUUCUCAAAAGCUGGAGAGGAGUAGACAAUAAAACACAAAUAUUUAAUAUUUAUGGUAUCACAGAGGUAUCAAGUUGGGCAACUUUUUUCAGGAUCCCAGAGAAGUUUCUUAAUUCUACUUUAAAAUGUGAAUUGCCGGUACCACUGGGAUUUCCACUGUUUGGAACAGUAGUUGAAGUCAGAGAUACUAAUGGUUUCACAAUUCAAGAGGGCCAUGGCCAAGUAUUUUUAGGUGGCAGAAACAGAGUAUGUUUUCUUGAGGAUGAGAUGACAGUACCACUUGGCACGAUGCGAGCCACAGGAGAUUUGGUGAUGGUGAAAGAUGGAGAGAUGUUUUUCUUGGGACGAAAGGACAGUCAGAUCAAACGACAUGGCAAACGUCUUAACAUUGAACUUGUGCAACAGGUUGCUGAAGGACUUCAGCAAGUGGAGUCUUGCGCAGUUACCUGGUAUAAUCAGGAAAAAUUAAUUCUGUUCGUGGUGUCCAAAAAUGAGUUAGUAAAGGAAUACAUCUUUAAAGAACUGCAGAAACAUCUUCCAAGUCAUGCAGUCCCGGAUGAACUCUUGUUGAUUGAAUCUCUACCAUUUACAUCUCAUGGCAAAAUUGAUGUUUUGGAGUUAAACAAGAUAUAUUUAAACUAUUUAAACUUGAAAUCUGAGUGCAAACUCAAUGGAAAAGAGGAACUUUGGGAAAAAUUACAGUAUUUGUGGAAGUCGAUUCUGAAUCUCUCAGAAGAUCCUUUGAAGGUUCCCGAUGAGUCACUCUUCUUAAAUAGUGGUGGAGAUUCCUUAAAGUCUGUACGGUUCCUCAGUGAGAUUGAAAAACUAGUUGGCACAUCAGUGCCUGGGCUUCUGGAAAUUAUUCUAAGCAGUUCCAUUUUAGAGAUUUACAAUCAUGUCCUUCAGACAGUGUUUCCAGAUGAAGAUCUGGUAUUCAGCAAGAAUCAUGCCACGAAAAGAAAAUUCAGCGACAGUAACCAAGAAGAAACCAGUAGAAAAUCUUUACAUCAGAAAUCUGUCAUGACGUUAAGUUGUGACAAUGAACUAACUGCUUUUACUGUGGUGAGCAGAGGGAAUCAGAUUUUGUCACUGAAUACCAAGUUUUUAACUAGGUUAGGGCUUUGCUCUUCAGCCCAUUCUUCUGAUUUAAUUUCACCGACUAAUACUCAAAAUGUAAAAAGCUUAAACCCUCCCGCUCUUCUUGGGAAGUCACAAGAUGCAUCCUGUGUUGCAGAAGUUUCUGAAGCAGGAACAUGUGUGGUAGCGGCCAAGAAAAUGGAGCUGCACGUGAGAUGGAGGGCAGACACCGGCAAAUGUGUGGAUGCUUCCCCUCUGGUUGUAAUCCCUGCUGUCGAGAAGUCCUCCCCAACCGUGUACGUGGGCUCGCAUUCUCACAGAAUGAUGGCACUUGACCUUCACUCUGGCAAGGUGAAGUGGGAGCAGAUUUUGGGAGACCGAAUUGAAUCCUCAGCGUGUAUAUCUAGGUGUGGAGACUUCAUUGUAGUGGGCUGUUACAAUGGGUUAGUUUAUGUUCUGAGAAGUAAUAGUGGAGAAACACACUGGACGUUUCCUGCGGAGGAUGCUGUCAGGAGCUCGGCAGCCGUGGACGCGACCACAGGACUUCUCUACGUCGGCUCUCACGACCGGCGCGCAUAUGCUUUGGAUAUUUAUGAAAAAAAGUGUGUUUGGAAGUUAAAUUGUGGAGGAGCUGUCUUUUCUUCCCCCUGUUUGAGCCUGCUUCCACAUCACUUAUAUGUGGCUACACUGGGAGGACAUUUGCUGGCUAUAAAUCCUGCCACUGGGAACAGAGUUUGGAAACAUUCCUGUGGAAAACCACUCUUUUCUUCUCCACGGUGUUGCCUGCAGUAUGUUUGUAUUGGCUGUGUGGAUGGGAAUUUACUCUGCUUUACUCACUUUGGAGAACAGGUCUGGCAGUUCUCGACCAGUGAACCAAUCUUUUCAUCCCCAUGUACCUCAGCAUCAGAGCAAGAAAUAUUUUUUGGUUCCCACGAUUGCUUCAUCUACUGUUGUGAUAUGAAAGGUCAUCUCCAGUGGAAAUUUGAAACCACUUCACGGGUGUAUGCCACACCGUUUGCUUUCCGUCGCCGAGAAGGCAGCCGUGAAGUGUUGCUGGCAGCGGCAUCUACCGAUGGGAAACUGUGGAUCUUGGACUCUAAGCGUGGCCAACUGCAAAGCGCAUAUGAACUUCCGGGGGAAGUUUUCUCUUCUCCUGUGGUCUGGGAAUCAAUGCUUAUUAUUGGAUGUAGAAAUAAUUACGUUUAUUGUCUGGAUUUGUUGGGUGGCUAUCAAGUAUAAUCAGACUCCGUUCUUAUUGGAUCAGCUGAGCUGUCUGAAAAUAUUACAGAGCAUUUGGAUAGUCUUAUUUUUUACUAAAGAUUAUAUUUUGCCUAAGAAACUUGCCUAUUAUACUUUAUUGGAGAAUGAUUAUACUUUACUUCAGUAGGAGCAACAAGUGCUUUUAAAAGGAAUUAUAGGACAGAAACAUCUAUUUAUUACUUUCUUUUAAUUAGGCUACAGAUAUUCAACUUUGGGUUUUUUUCUUUGCUUUUAAAGACGACUUCUGUGAAAAACAAGAUCAGAAUAUACCCUGUGGGUUAAAAACUUAGUCCAUGAUGUGAUGUUCCACUUAACCUAUUUACAGUGAGAUUCGUAACAAAGGUUAUCAAAGAAUUUCCCCCAUAGUUUGUUGAUCAGAAAAGACUGCAACACAACUAAAGCAAAAUAACACUUCAUUGGUAUUUAGUGCAAAUUUGGAGCCAUUUUACAUGAAAUAUUAAACAUGGACCCUUUAGAAGUUGCUGGAAGUAAGUGCUGUGACUAUCCUGUCCUCAGUGUACCCUUUUCCUUUUGAAGACUUGAAGAGAAACUUUGUAACUGAGGUAUUUUCUCCUACUUUGUGUGUGCUCGGUGCUGUGUGCGCCAGCAGCAGUGGCUCAUCUAGGAUCCUUCGUCAGUGACCCGACUGCUUCCCCGUUCUCUGCCCUCACUGCGGUGUCAUCCAGAGCUGGCGGGAUGAGAGGAAAAGUUCAGAAGGAUUCUCGUCGCGCUGUAGACCAGGGCUCUAGUGGAAAGACUCCCAUUAAAAAGUGUGUUCUGUCAGUAGUGACACCACUGAGAAUGAACAAAUGCCGCCACGUUUGAUUUAGAAAUGAACAUCGGUGUGGAAAACAUGCAGCGGGAUAUGAAUUGCUUCCCACAGGAAUAAAAGAAAAUUAGUUACACUGAUUCUUAACAGAUGGAAGGUCCGGUCUAUAGAACAAUAAAGCCAACUUGCAAGGGUACAACUGUCCACUUGACCACACCUGCCCACUGCUAACCAUGGGGCUGAGCCAUCGUUUCCAGAAAGAAGAUGCCUUCUAUAUAGUGAGUGACAGCAACGAUACGUUGCCAGUCAAAUGAGCUCUACGUAGAGUAAAAUGAUGAAUAAUGGUAAAAUGUGUUUUUGCAAGAGGGGAAAAAGGAAUGCAGUUCCCCAUGCACUGGGCGAGAGAGGUGUACUUCUACUGUGGGGUACGGUUUCAGCCAAGGAGAAUGUGCCACCCCUGUGCGCUGUAACGUCCGUGUUGGCGAUGUGUGGGUUUGCUGGUGGGUCUAUGCCUCAUGCUUUUGAACUGCCACGUCCCUUCUUUGGACCACGUGUGUGGAUAGCAGCAAGGCCACUUAAGACUUGGAGAUGGUUUUUAAAGGUACCAAGGUGAAUGCUCAAAAUUGCAAAUGCUGUUGAACAUCUGACUCUGAAUAUGAAGCACUCGACUAUGGUGAAGAAACUUCCACAGAAGUCCUCAGUACAAAGGCUCCAAGUCUUGUCUUCCUGUUAAAUUCUCCCUAAAGACCUAAGGGAUAUUCAGAGACCUUCAAUGCCAGUAGCUUCUCCUAUCUUAUAGUAGAAGUCUGGCGUGGGGGGUUUUUAUUUUUCCUCUCACUUAUGUGGGUAAAAUGAGCCUCCCCUUCAGAGUUUUAAAAGCUGGAUUACCCUGGAAGCAGUGUAUCCCACAGUACUCCUUUGGGAUGUGUCAGAAUUCGUCUGAUAGACCUUCCCGGCCCAGACUCACAGGCUCUAAUUCGGAAGGCAGGAGGCGGACCUGGACGUCUUAACCACUGCACUGGGGGAGAUUCUCAGAGCUGGGAAGACAAUCUGUCGCUUCCUUUCUUCAUGACCCUAAAUAAAAAUGUUCCCUCGGAGCCACAUGGGCCAAAUGUUUAACACGUCUUUACGGAGAGCACUAGUAUGACAGGACCUAUGGGACAUCAGUGCGGCGGAAGGGUGAGGAGAUUCACUGUGUUACGGUUUCAGAUGAGGAGGGAAGUCAGACAAGCAGACAAGGGGAGAGACGGCAGCCAGACUGUUAGGAUUCCCAGGUACUCAAUGCACUCGGGAGAACGGGCAUCUUGUUUCUGUCUGUAUGACCCUUUCUUUCACCAUGAUUGUAGAAAAGAAAAGAAACCACCAAACAUGGUAGGGUAAAUGUUCCAGAUUAAAGAAGUUGGAGACCCAAAAAAUCAUUUAAAAGAUUGGCAAAAGUCCUGUUCUAAAUGGUGUGUGCAUGUGUACGUGUGGAAGGGGCCUAGUAGGCUCUUGUGACAAAAUCUUAGUUUGGAGAUUCUGCUCCACGUGGUCCCUCGGAUGGAAUUUUCUCUUGAGAACAAGGAGGAGCCCCAGGCACCAGGACCUAGGAUUGUGCAAAUACAGUCUUUACAGUUUCUGCACAUGAUUUUAGAGCCUGUAACACAUGCUGCUUUUCCCUCGUGUGGCGUCUUCACCUCCUAUAAAAAAUAAAUAACACGGGCAAGAGAGGAGCCAAGAGCUGGCGGUAGGAGUGGAUGAAAGUCACUCUACUUAAUGAUCUGCGGACAGUCGCUCCAGGCCUUGGCUUUCCUUUUGGCCAAAGCCAGCCAGGCUGGUUCUGUUGACACAGGGGCGGCAUCCGGGGUUGAGAACCUCUUUGUGGCUUCCUUCACCAGCGGCGCGGGGGGCGCGGGACCCGAGGUCUCCACUGCGUUGCGUUUUGAAGGAAAAGGAUAAGCGUAAGUCAGAGCCACGUUCUGAGGUGACAGAAGUACAAGACUCAGAAUGGAGACCCCGUGAGACACUGGGCAUCUUUAGUGAGAAGGAUUAGGGAAAGAAAGCAGUGUGAUCAGAACUACUGCUUACAGAACUAUGGUGCAGCUGCUUUUAAUCUCAGAGUUUCUGGAAGCCUCAUUUGUAUGCACAGAAGCUAUGCCUCCAUGAUAGGAAAUAAAAGGGAAAUGCUAUAUUCUAGUUAUCCGGCUGGUCAGUUCCAUGAAGAAAAACAUCCAACCAGUAGCCUGAAUUUAUCUAACUGGUGAGAUCAAAAGUUACCCUCUCCACCAAGCAGGCCUGGGCUGCCCCCCGCCCCCCGCCCAGGCCCCUGCUCCUGCCAGCUCUGACCACUUCCAGGCUUGUCUCACAAUUCUUUCUUCACCUGACCUUAAAGGCUUCUUAAGGUGAGGGAUCUGGGCUUAUCUCUGAGUCCUAUUUAGUGCCUGUGGCAGUGGCCUACCCAUGAACAGAAGUCAGGAAAUACUGAUGGAAAAGACAAAUAAAUCAGAACAAACGUUUGCUUCAUCGAGCAGAGCCGCUCUGAACCGCAUUAACUCUCUGGCACUUCCACAGAAGUCACACAGAGAAAGGUGUGAUCCCCGACUUUGGAAUUUUAUUUUGAAAGAAUGAUCCCUUUUACAACCCAUAUGGUUAGAACCCUCAGGUCUUGGGUGUAAGAUCAAAUGAAAUUACAUCCAUGAAGUUUCUGAGAAAUUACAAUGCUCCAAAGUGCUCUUCUAAUACAGUUGUUUUUUUUCUCUUCACCAAAAUAAUACAUAGAGCUUCAAGGGCAGGACCUCUUUACGUCUCCAAACCUGAGCUAGCAGGUGACAGAGGCAUAAAACAGCCUGGGUCUCUGGGUGGUUGCCCAGAAGGGAAAACAGGUGCUCUGCUAACCGGGGGGAAGCUUGUUCCAACUCCUCUCCAUCCUUCAAGUGAUUUGUAACAAGGAAAUAGUUUGAAACGUUACAGGAUCGCUUUAACAGAAUAAAGAAUUUUUU